rnacentral:rRNA from 1 species
UUAGAUACCCCACUAUGCUCAGUCGUAAACUUUAAAUUACCCCCACUUCGCCCGGGAACUACGAGCCAAGCUUAAAACCCAAAGGACUUGACGGUACCCCAUAUCCCCCUAGAGGAGCCUGUCCUAUAAUCGAUAACCCCCGUUUUACCUCACCAUUUCUAGUUAUUCAGCCUGUAUACCUCCGUCGUCAGCUUACCGCGUGAGCGCUAGUAAGCUCAACGUUUUUCCAACUAAACGUCAGGUCAAGGUGCAACACAUGAAAUGGAAAGAGAUGGGCUACAC